rnacentral:rRNA from 1 species
UACGUAGGGGGCUAGCGUUGUCCGGAAUCAUUGGGCGUAAAGCGCGUGUAGGCGGUCCGGUAAGUCCGCUGUGAAAGUCGGGGGCUCAACCCUCGGAUGCCGGUGGAUACUGUCGGGCUUGAGUAUGGAAGAGGCGAGUGGAAUUCCUGGUGUAGCGGUGAAAUGCGCAGAUAUCAGGAGGAACACCAAUUGCGAAGGCAGCUCGCUGGGACGUUACUGACGCUGAGACGCGAAAGCGUGGGGAGCAAACAGG